UACAGAGGUCUCAAGCGUUAUUCGGAUUCAUUGGGCGUAAAGGGCGUGUAGGUGGCGCGCUAAGUCGGGUGUGAAAUUUCGGAGCUUAACUCCGAAACUGCAUUCGAUACUGGCGUGCUUGAGGACUGGAGAGGAGACUGGAAUUCAUGGUGUAGCAGUGAAAUGCGUAGAGAUCAUGAGGAAGACCAGUGGCGAAGGCGGGUCUCUGGACAGUUCCUGACACUGAGACACGAAGGCCAGGGGAGCAAACGGG
rnacentral:rRNA from 1 species